GACAGAGGAUGCAAGCGUUAUCCGGAAUGAUUGGGCGUAAAGCGUCUGUAGGUGGCUUUUUAAGUCCGCCGUCAAAUCCCAGGGCUCAACCCUGGACAGGCGGUGGAAACUACCAAGCUGGAGUACGGUAGGGGCAGAGGGAAUUUCCGGUGGAGCGGUGAAAUGCGUAGAGAUCGGAAAGAACACCAACGGCGAAGGCGCUCUACUGGGCCAUUACUGACACUGAGAGACGAAAAGCUAAGGGAGCGAAAGGG
rnacentral:rRNA from 1 species